GUGGAAGUUGGGCGCCAUGGCAGGGCCUCGUCCAUCCAGCCUGGGCCGCGCUGGCCGGAGCAGACCGCAAGCGGCCCGCUGGGAGCCCAGCCAAGAGCGGUGUUUUUCCAGGUCCGCGCAGGGCCACGGGAACCCGCGUGUUUGUUUGGUGGGAAUGGAUUCCUGGAAAACUAGACGGAAGGCUCUCCCAGCUGCUGGCUCCGCUCUGUUGAUGGAUACCAUCCAGUGUCACCACAGGGGCUUCCAGUGCCUGGAAUUUUGGUGGGAGGAGAGCAACUUCAGGAAUGAAGAAGCAAGCUCCCAGAGGGCAAAGCUUUCCUUGGCUUGAUACACGGCUUGCUCCCCAGCAACCUGGAAACACGCCCCAUGCCUCGGAGGAGGUAACAGCAGCAGAGAUUCAGGGCAGACCUUGGGGAGACACCCAUCAAAGCAGGUGAGGAUGGGGAAAAAGGACUGAGGGUGGGCCCAUCGGUCCAUUCCAGAACUCCCACUGGAAUGUCAAACGGGCUUGAGCGGACAGCUGAGCCCUGGAGCCUGGGGACGAGAUGUUCCAUCCUCUGAGCAGACUGAGGCCGGAUGUCGGCUUGGAGCCGACGCCGCACCAGCUCCAGCUCCCUUCCUUGGCUGCAGGGUCUUCUUUGGAGUGAGGGUCGGCCCUCUCGGCGCCUCAGGGAGCGCAGGGCCCUUCGGAGGCAAGUGGUGUGGGGGCCUCUCCCAUGUGGGGGGCUCUGUUAGACCUCCUUCCUUCUUCUUCUCGUUGGCGGCGAGGCUGGAGGGUGUGCUUUUUCCAGACCCUUCUCUCUCACGAGUCUGAACAGUCAGAGGAAGCGGC
rnacentral:lncRNA from 1 species